CACUAUCGUUAACUGAAUACAUAGGUUAACGAGGCGAACCGGGGGAACUGAAACAUCUAAGUACCCCGAGGAAAAGAAAUCAACCGAGAUUCCCCCAGUAGCGGCGAGCGAACGGGGAGCAGCCCAGAGUCUGAAUCAGCUUGUGUGUUAGUGGAACGGUCUGGAAAGUCCGACGGUACAGGGUGAUAGUCCCGUACACCAAAAUGCACAGGCUGUGAACUCGAAGAGUAGGGCGGGACACGUGGUAUCCUGUCUGAAUAUGGGGGGACCAUCCUCCAAGGCUAAAUACUCCUGACUGACCGAUAGUGAACCAGUACCGUGAGGGAAAGGCGAAAAGAACCCCGGCGAGGGGAGUGAAAAAGAACCUGAAACCGUGUACGUACAAGCAGUGGGAGCACCUUCGGGUGUGACUGCGUACCUUUUGUAUAAUGGGUCAGCGACUUAUAUUCUGUAGCAAGGUUAACCGUAUAGGGGAGCCGCAGGGAAACCGAGUCUUAACUGGGCGUUAAGUUGCAGGGUAUAGACCCGAAACCCGGUGAUCUAGCCAUGGGCAGGUUGAAGGUUGGGUAACACUAACUGGAGGACCGAACCGACUAAUGUUGAAAAAUUAGCGGAUGACUUGUGGCUGGGGGUGAAAGGCCAAUCAAACCGGGAGAUAGCUGGUUCUCCCCGAAAGCUAUUUAGGUAGCGCCUCGUGAACUCAUCUUCGGGGGUAGAGCACUGUUUCGGCUAGGGGGUCAUCCCGACUUACCAACCCGAUGCAAACUACGAAUACCGAAGAAUGUUAUCACGGGAGACACACGGCGGGUGCUAACGUCCGUCGUGAAGAGGGAAACAACCCAGACCGCCAGCUAAGGUCCCAAAGUCAUGGUUAAGUGGGAAACGAUGUGGGAAGGCACAGACAGCCAGGAUGUUGGCUUAGAAGCAGCCAUCAUUUAAAGAAAGCGUAAUAGCUCACUGGUCGAGUCGGCCUGCGCGGAAGAUGUAACGGGGCUAAACCAUGCACCGAAGCUGCGGCAGCGACACUAUGUGUUGUUGGGUAGGGGAGCGUUCUGUAAGCCUGCGAAGGUGACCUGUGAGGGUUGCUGGAGGUAUCAGAAGUGCGAAUGCUGACAUAAGUAACGAUAAAGCGGGUGAAAAGCCCGCUCGCCGGAAGACCAAGGGUUCCUGUCCAACGUUAAUCGGGGCAGGGUGAGUCGACCCCUAAGGCGAGGCCGAAAGGCGUAGUCGAUGGGAAACAGGUUAAUAUUCCUGUACUUGGUGUUACUGCGAAGGGGGGACGGAGAAGGCUAUGUUAGCCGGGCGACGGUUGUCCCGGUUUAAGCAUGUAGGCUGAUUGUCCAGGCAAAUCCGGAUAAUCAAGGCUGAGGUGUGAUGACGAGGCACUACGGUGCUGAAGUAACAAAUGCCCUGCUUCCAGGAAAAGCCUCUAAGCAUCAGGUAACAUUAAAUCGUACCCCAAACCGACACAGGUGGUCAGGUAGAGAAUACCAAGGCGCUUGAGAGAACUCGGGUGAAGGAACUAGGCAAAAUGGUGCCGUAACUUCGGGAGAAGGCACGCUGGUGUGUAGGUGAAGUCCCUGCGGAUGGAGCUGAGACCAGUCGAAGAUACCAGCUGGCUGCAACUGUUUAUUAAAAACACAGCACUGUGCAAACACGAAAGUGGACGUAUACGGUGUGACGCCUGCCCGGUGCCGGAAGGUUAAUUGAUGGGGUUAUCCGUAAGGAGAAGCUCUUGAUCGAAGCCCCGGUAAACGGCGGCCGUAACUAUAACGGUCCUAAGGUAGCGAAAUUCCUUGUCGGGUAAGUUCCGACCUGCACGAAUGGCGUAAUGAUGGCCAGGCUGUCUCCACCCGAGACUCAGUGAAAUUGAACUCGCUGUGAAGAUGCAGUGUACCCGCGGCAAGACGGAAAGACCCCGUGAACCUUUACUAUAGCUUGACACUGAACAUUGAGCCUUGAUGUGUAGGAUAGGUGGGAGGCUUUGAAGCGUGGACGCCAGUCUGCGUGGAGCCAACCUUGAAAUACCACCCUUUAAUGUUUGAUGUUCUAACGUUGGCCCCUGACCGGGGUUGCGGACAGUGUCUGGUGGGUAGUUUGACUGGGGCGGUCUCCUCCCAAAGCGUAACGGAGGAGCACGAAGGUUAGCUAAUCCUGGUCGGACAUCAGGAGGUUAGUGCAAUGGCAUAAGCUAGCUUGACUGCGAGCGUGACGGCGCGAGCAGGUGCGAAAGCAGGUCAUAGUGAUCCGGUGGUUCUGAAUGGAAGGGCCAUCGCUCAACGGAUAAAAGGUACUCCGGGGAUAACAGGCUGAUACCGCCCAAGAGUUCAUAUCGACGGCGGUGUUGAAGUAGGUCCCAAGGGUAUGGCUGUUCGCCAUUUAAAGUGGUACGCGAGCUGGGUUUAGAACGUCGUGAGACAGUUCGGUCCCUAUCUGCCGUGGGCGCUGGAGAAUUGAGGGGGGCUGCUCCUAGUACGAGAGGACCGGAGUGGACGCAUCACUGGUGUUCGGGUUGUCAUGCCAAUGGCACUGCCCGGUAGCUAAAUGCGGAAGAGAUAAGUGCUGAAAGCAUCUAAGCACGAAACUUGCCCCGAGAUGAGUUCUCCCUGAGACUUUAAGUCUCCUGAAGGAACGUUGAAGACGACGACGUUGAUAGGCCGGGUGUGUAAGCGCAGCGAUGCGUUGAGCUAACCGGUACUAAUGAACCGUGAGGCUUAACCUU
rnacentral:rRNA from 1 species